GCACUAUUAAUGAAUCUGGUAAUCCAGACAAUGUAUCACAAAUAAUAUCCCAAAAUUAUAAAUAAAAUUGAAAAUUAUUUCCAAUUUCAUUCAAAAAAAAAAAAAAAAAAAGUUUUCAGGAGAACUGUUAAGUCCCUAUCACAAUUAAUGCCAGCCCUGAGAAUGAAUGGAAGCAGAACUGCAGAAGUAAGGAACAGAAAAAGAGGCCAUAUCUUGUCAGAGAUAACUCACAUCGACUUGUCAGAGAUAACUCACGUCGACUUGUCAGAGCACUAAGACAAGACACUUCCAUCGCCAUGAACAAUUCUUGUAUGAGCAAGUUUUUUGCCAACAAGAUCCCUCAACUCGAUUUCACCAGGGAACCUGUUUUCUGUCAGCUUGGAGAAAACCAAUUCACCAUUGCAAUAUACUUCAAAAGCACCAGAACUCUGGAGGAAGGAUUGAAUGAAGUUUCCAAAAAGCCAAGUGCUCGCAAUACUUCCAAAUCUGUUUGCACGUAAAGAAUAGUACCAAGGAGGUGGAACUGCAAAUCCUAACCUUGGAAAAAUUUGUUCACCAGCCAUUAUUACUCCAAUGAUUCCAAAUUGAAAAACUGGAACAACUUUGCUCAGUAAGCGCUUUGGAAAUGAGGGAGGAUAGUUCGCCAAAAUUACAUUAAUACCAGGAAAUUGUGUUUCCAGCAUGUUUUGCAUAGUUACAGCAGUUCCUCUAUAAGAACAAGAAGCACAGAAGUCGAUAUUAAUGGUGCUGCCAAAGCCAAUAUUACCAACGCCGCCGCCUAAUCCUCCGAUAGCGGAUGACGAUGAUUUCUGAAUUGGAAAUUGAAGGGGCUGUUGGUGGAGAACUGAAUUGGGCUUGGAUCGGAAGCUGCUAAGAUCAUUUUGAGCGGAUUUUGGCGGUGGUGGUACCGUAAAUAGAUUAACAACGUCGGUGAAAAAUAGAAAGAUUGGUAAACCUAAGAGCAGAAAUUGAGAUCGAUCCAUUUUCCAGUGACACAACAGACGCAGAGAGAAGCGAGAGAGAGAGACGACACGAACAAAGCACGUGGG
rnacentral:misc_RNA from 1 species